GUAAGGAAUAUUGGUCAAUGGGCGGAAGCCUGAACCAGCCAUGCCGCGUGCAGGAAGACGGCCCUACGGGUUGUAAACUGCUUUUGUACCGGAAUAAACCCUUUUAUGAAUAGAAGGCUGAAUGUACGGUAAGAAUAAGGAUCGGCUAACUCCGUGCCAGCAGCCGCGGUAAUACGGAGGAUCCGAGCGUUAUCCGGAUUUAUUGGGUUUAAAGGGUGCGUAGGCGGCCUUGUAAGUCAGGGGUGAAAGACGGUAGCUCAACUAUCGCAGUGCCUUUGAUACUGCAGGGCUUGAAUAUACUUGAGGCAGGCGGAAUGUGACAAGUAGCGGUGAAAUGCAUAGAUAUGUCACAGAACACCAAUUGCGAAGGCAGCUUGCUAAGGUAAGAUUGACGCUGAGGCACGAAAGCGUGGGGAUCAAACAGG
rnacentral:rRNA from 1 species